rnacentral:rRNA from 1 species
UACGUAGGUGGCAAGCGUUGUCCGGAUUUAUUGGGUUUAAAGGGUGCGUAGGCGGUCCUUUAAGUCAGUGCUGAAAUACUCUAGCUUAACUAGAGGGGUGGCAUUGAUACUGGAGGACUUGAAUGAAGUCGAGGUAGGCGGAAUUGACGGUGUAGCGGUGAAAUGCUUAGAUAUCGUCAAGAACACCCGUGGCUAAGGCGGCUCUCUAGUACGGUACUGACGCUGAGACGCGAAAGCGUGGGGAGCGAACAGG